rnacentral:rRNA from 1 species
AGUGAACGCUGGCGGUAGGCCUAACACAUGCAAGUCGAACGGCAGCACAGUAAAAGCUUGCUCUUACGGGUGGCGAGUGGCGGACGGGUGAGGAAUAUAUCGGAAUCUACUUUUUCGUGGGGGAUAACGUAGGGAAACUUACGCUAAUACCGCAUACGACCUACGGGUGAAAGCAGGGGAUCUUCGGACCUUGCGCGAUUGAAUGAGCCGAUGUCGGAUUAGCUAGUUGGCGGGGUAAAGGCCCACCAAGGCGACGAUCCGUAGCUGGUCUGAGAGGAUGAUCAGCCACACUGGAACUGAGACACGGUCCAGACUCCUACGGGAGGCAGCAGUGGGGAAUAUUGGACAACGGGCGCAAGCCUGAUCCAGCCAUACCGCGUGGGUGAAGAAGGCCUUCGGGUUGUAAAGCCCUUUUGUUGGGAAAGAAAAGCAGCAGGUUAAUACCCCGCUGUUCUGACGGUACCCAAAGAAUAAGCACCGGCUAACUUCGUG